CCUACGGGAGGCAGCAGUGGGGAAUUUUGGACAAUGGGCGCAAGCCUGAUCCAGCUAUUCCGCGUGUGGGAAGACGGCCUUCGGGUUGUAAACCACUUUUGUAGAGAACGAAAAGUCCAUUGAUAAUACCGAUAGACGAUGACGGUACCCUAAGAAUAAGCACCGUCUUACUACGUGCCAGCAGCCGCGGUAAUACGUAGGGUUCGAGCGUUUAUCGGAAUUACUGGGGGUAAAGGGUGUGCAGGUGGUUUUGCAAGAUGGAUGUGAAAGCCCCGGGGUUAACCCGGGAAAGGCAUACAUGACUGGAAGACUAGAGGUCGUGAGAGGGAGGUGGAAUUCCCAGUGUAGCAGUGAAAUGCGUAGAUAUUGGGAAGAACACCGAUGGCGAAGGCAGCACCCUGGGACGAAACUGACGCUCAUGCACGAAAGCGUGGGGAGCAAACAGGAUUAGAUACCCUAGUAGUC
rnacentral:rRNA from 1 species